rnacentral:sRNA from 1 species
GUAACAAAAGCCAUACUAGUAGAACGUAUAUGAAGAAGAAACUAAAGAGUCAGCUUUGUUGGAAAUCUGGAAUGAUUCCUGAAAGCAAGAAAUGGAUGUACAUGAUCUUUAAGAUAUUAUUUUCUAUAUCCUGUUUAUUAGACAAAAUAAUUCUCCAGGCACAAGGCCUUAAGACACACCUAUUUUUUAAUGUAUUUUGAAUCUUUGAUUGAAAUUUCUUAAUUCCCUUCUUGGUACUCCCUCUUAGAUUGCUACCUGUUCUGAUGACAAUACACUAAAAAUCUGGCGCUUGAAUAGAGGCUUAGAGGAGAAACCAGGAGGUGAUAAACUUUCCACGGUGGGUUGGGCCUCUCAGAAGAAAAAAGAGUCAAGACCUGGCCUAGUAACAGUAACGAGUAGCCAGAGUACUCCUGCCAAAGCCCCCAGGGUAAAGUGCAAUCCAUCCAAUUCUUCCCCGUCAUCCGCAGCUUGUGCCCCAAGCUGUGCUGGAGACCUCCCUCUUCCUUCAAAUACUCCUACGUUCUCUAUUAAAACCUCUCCUGCCAAGGCCCGGUCUCC